ensembl:snoRNA Gm22890 small nucleolar RNA SNORA48
CCCCCCCUGGCAUUGGGCAAAGAGACACCUUGUUGUUGGUGCUGUUCUUCUAUCAGUCAGGGGCAGAGCAGAUGGCAGUCCUUUGUGCACCCUAGCUUGAUACCUGGCUUGGUGACCACAGCUGUUUUAUGCCUAGGACAUAUAA